GCUCCUUCUCGUUCUAAAACAAUAGGCAAAACUACUUGCAGAAACAGAAACCUGGUUCCGUGUGCACGAAAACGCUGCUCCAGACAGAUGCCAAAUGAAAAGUAGCGUCUCCUCGGCGAAGCCGAGCCCCGGGUGGUGAAAACGAAGUAUUGCGCUGUGGGGCUAGUUCAGUGGGGCCCGGCCCUCAGAGGGCUUGCCUUCUCGCCGAUGACGACGCAAUCACUAAAUCAGGUGACAAGAUGAUCAGUCAAUGGAGAGAAUUUAAAUGGAGAAACAAAAGAGGAUAUUCACAACCAACACUCAUGCAUUCAAUACUUACAUUUGCCAAAUUUGAACAUUUUUCUGUGGACAUAGUUCAGUUCUCCUGCCUGCCCUCUCUGAACUCAAAACUCAGUGGUGCUAAGGUGGCUGGAACUUGCAAGUCAGGGUUCCAAAAAGAAGGAAUUAUAUGCAGAAAGAACUACAGGAAUCUGUAUA
rnacentral:lncRNA from 1 species